rnacentral:tRNA from 1 species
AUUAGCUCAGUUGGUUAGAGCAUGGUGCUAAUAACAUCAGGAUUAUGGGUUUGAUCCCUGUAU